UUAAGCGACUAAGCGUACACGGUGGAUGCCCUGGCAGUCAGAGGCGAUGAAGGACGUGCUAAUCUGCGAAAAGCGUCGGUAAGGUGAUAUGAACCGUUAUAACCGGCGAUGUCCGAAUGGGGAAACCCAGUGUGAUUCGUCACACUAUCGUUAACUGAAUACAUAGGUUAACGAGGCGAACCGGGGGAACUGAAACAUCUAAGUACCCCGAGGAAAAGAAAUCAACCGAGAUUCCCCCAGUAGCGGCGAGCGAACGGGGAGCAGCCCAGAGUCUGAAUCAGCUUGUGUGUUAGUGGAACGGUCUGGAAAGUCCGACGGUACAGGGUGAUAGUCCCGUACACCAAAAUGCACAGGUUGUGAACUCGAAGAGUAGGGCGGGACACGUGGUAUCCUGUCUGAAUAUGGGGGGACCAUCCUCCAAGGCUAAAUACUCCUGACUGACCGAUAGUGAACCAGUACCGUGAGGGAAAGGCGAAAAGAACCCCGGCGAGGGGAGUGAAAAAGAACCUGAAACCGUGUACGUACAAGCAGUGGGAGCACCUUCGGGUGUGACUGCGUACCUUUUGUAUAAUGGGUCAGCGACUUAUAUUCUGUAGCAAGGUUAACCGUAUAGGGGAGCCGCAGGGAAACCGAGUCUUAACUGGGCGUUAAGUUGCAGGGUAUAGACCCGAAACCCGGUGAUCUAGCCAUGGGCAGGUUGAAGGUUGGGUAACACUAACUGGAGGACCGAACCGACUAAUGUUGAAAAAUUAGCGGAUGACUUGUGGCUGGGGGUGAAAGGCCAAUCAAACCGGGAGAUAGCUGGUUCUCCCCGAAAGCUAUUUAGGUAGCGCCUCGUGAACUCAUCUUCGGGGGUAGAGCACUGUUUCGGCUAGGGGGUCAUCCCGACUUACCAACCCGAUGCAAACUACGAAUACCGAAGAAUGUUAUCACGGGAGACACACGGCGGGUGCUAACGUCCGUCGUGAAGAGGGAAACAACCCAGACCGCCAGCUAAGGUCCCAAAGUCAUGGUUAAGUGGGAAACGAUGUGGGAAGGCACAGACAGCCAGGAUGUUGGCUUAGAAGCAGCCAUCAUUUAAAGAAAGCGUAAUAGCUCACUGGUCGAGUCGGCCUGCGCGGAAGAUGUAACGGGGCUAAACCAUGCACCGAAGCUGCGGCAGCGACACUAUGUGUUGUUGGGUAGGGGAGCGUUCUGUAAGCCUGCGAAGGUGUGCUGUGAGGCAUGCUGGAGGUAUCAGAAGUGCGAAUGCUGACAUAAGUAACGAUAAAGCGGGUGAAAAGCCCGCUCGCCGGAAGACCAAGGGUUCCUGUCCAACGUUAAUCGGGGCAGGGUGAGUCGACCCCUAAGGCGAGGCCGAAAGGCGUAGUCGAUGGGAAACAGGUUAAUAUUCCUGUACUUGGUGUUACUGCGAAGGGGGGACGGAGAAGGCUAUGUUAGCCGGGCGACGGUUGUCCCGGUUUAAGCAUGUAGGCUGGUUAUCCAGGCAAAUCCGGAUAAUCAAGGCUGAGGUGUGAUGACGAGGCACUACGGUGCUGAAGUAACAAAUGCCCUGCUUCCAGGAAAAGCCUCUAAGCAUCAGGUAACAUCAAAUCGUACCCCAAACCGACACAGGUGGUCAGGUAGAGAAUACCAAGGCGCUUGAGAGAACUCGGGUGAAGGAACUAGGCAAAAUGGUGCCGUAACUUCGGGAGAAGGCACGCUGGUGUGUAGGUGAAGUCCCUGCGGAUGGAGCUGAGACCAGUCGAAGAUACCAGCUGGCUGCAACUGUUUAUUAAAAACACAGCACUGUGCAAACACGAAAGUGGACGUAUACGGUGUGACGCCUGCCCGGUGCCGGAAGGUUAAUUGAUGGGGUUAUCCGUAAGGAGAAGCUCUUGAUCGAAGCCCCGGUAAACGGCGGCCGUAACUAUAACGGUCCUAAGGUAGCGAAAUUCCUUGUCGGGUAAGUUCCGACCUGCACGAAUGGCGUAAUGAUGGCCAG
rnacentral:rRNA from 1 species